UUUUAUGUGAGUAUUUGUAGGUUUAGCGAGUUGCUCGUUUGCGUAUUCAGAAAGGGUUUUCUGGACUGCACCAAGCUGUGUGGCAAACUGAGUGAUCAGAUGUUGUUCUGAAUCUACAAGAAUGUCAGAGGUUAAGAAGGGCCUCCCUCCCAUGCAGAAGUUCAAAGGGGCUCAGCUUAAAGGCAUCAACAGAGACCAAAAGCAUCUUGAAACCUCUGCAAGGGGGGGGGGGGGCAUAUGUGUAAAGUCUACCUGCCAAUCUUCCCCUGGGCACGCGCCCCUUCUCUGAACAGGCUUCAGGAGAGGGGGAGAGUUAACAGCUCCUUCAGGAUUUACUUGGGCGCAAAAUGAACAGGCCUGGCAGACCUGCCUGAUGGUUUCUCCUAGCCUGUGACCCAUGGGAGGAUUCUUUGAGGAUGCUCAAAGUUCCCUUUCUUUCCAUAUAGCCCCAUGAGCAUGCAAAGUAUGAAAAGCAGACAAGGAGUCGGUAUAGACAUUCACUCUCAUUCCCUUCCCCAGUUCCAAAGCUCUGCUCAGGGCAGUGAGUUUGGCUUUCUGGGCAGAAGCCCCAGGGGGCAGCGGCUGAGCUUCCAGGGGGUUGUUGAGGCUCACUAUGGAAUGACCCGUCUUUCUUUUCCUCUUUUCAAGAAAGCUCGACCCAUCUGUAAACCAUUCAGCAUCCGGGUUGUCAGGAGAAACGUCCCUCAAGUCAGGUUGGCCGGAGUGGACAGAAUCUAAAGCUUCCUCCUGAUUAUGACUGAUUAUGACUGAUGUCUCCAGACUGAGUGCUGUCAGGGAGCAGAGGGGCAGGACUGUGAGAGUGUGACACGCCCGGAGCCUCAGCUCGGGGUGUCUAGCGGGUGAGCCUGGAUCUCACUUUAUAUCAUCCCCACCUCAGGCCAUCACCCCAAAUUCAUUUGGGGGAAAGGGAUGAAGGUCUCAUCUUCUAGAGCUGCUUCAAGCUGACAAGGGCUGUAGAGCUGUCCCUAUGCUCAAUGGAGGUUCAGGCCAGGAGGGGAAGGGUGAGAUCUGAAGAUGGCAGCAGCAACAUCCAGGGGAUGCCAAGUAUCCAAGUUAGCCGUCCCGUGAUCUUCAGACUGAAUGAGCAGCUGGAAGUUCGCAGCUUGGAGUCUGGAGGAAAACAAAUCUCACAAGCAGAAAGCUCGACCCAUCUGUAAACCAUUCAGCAUCCGGGUUGUCAGGAGAAACGUCCCUCAAGUCAGGUUGGCCGGAGUGGACAGAAUCUAAAGCUUCCUCCUGAUUAUGACUGAUGUCUCCAGACUGAGUGCUGUCAGGGAGCAGAGGGGCAGGACUGAGAGUGUGACACGCCCGGAGCCUCAGCUCGGGGUGUCUAGCGGGUGAGCCUGGUAUGUGGUAAGCCUCCCACCAGCAAGUCACUGAUGCCCUUUGGCUACUAAAAUGCCCUGAGCCCGAUGGGGGGGCGUUAAAACCUCCAAUGGCUGCCCUCAGUUGAAUUUUGAGGCUUGUUGAGUUAGAAGGGCCAUAGCAGUCACUGCUUUAAGGCAGGAGGGCCAUCCUAGGGAAACUGAGUUCAGUUUCUUUGAGAAGCAGGCAACUGUUUUGGGGUCAGGUCCAAGGGCCUGAGUUAAGACCCCCAGGGCCUGGCCCUGCCUUUCAUCCACAUCCAGAAUGAAAGACUUUUCUAAGUUAGGUAGAACCAGGACAGGGGCAGAGGUCAGUUUGGCUUUCAGGGUGUCUACAUCUAGGGAAGCCUCUCAUGUGGGUCUACAAAUCAAGAUAAGACUGCUCUUAAGUGUCUCCAAGUCUCUUAACUCUUUUGCUAAAAGUUUGUGCUUAAUUCCUCAAUUCUUUCAGAGGAAUCUAUUUUCUCCAAUAUUUCUGAAGGAAUAUGAGAGGCCUUUGAAAGGCCCUGAUGUAAACUGUGUCCCCUUUAAUUUUGGGGGAAGGAUGGUCCUGAGUUUCCAACUCUCCUGGCCUCUGGGAGGGGCCCUACCCUGCUGUUCAUAGGGCAAACUCCCAUAUAGUAAUCUCCUAUUCAAUUGGAGAUCUUGGCCAGGGUCAUAAUCAUCACCCCCCCACUGAAAGGUCCCCCAGCUCUGGGCCAAAACAAAUGCGAUAUAACCAGAGACACCCGGCAAUCUAUCGCUGCUAAUUCCUAAUCAGGAAUGGCCGCUGAGUAAAUUCGGUGUAAAUCAAUCUUUGAAAAAAUCCUAUUUCAGAAAGGCCUGGAGAGACUUACAUGAACUGAUGCUGAG